GAUGAACGCUGGCGGCGUGCUUAACACAUGCAAGUCGAACGGUGAACGAGGGAGCUUGCUCCCUCCGGAUCAGUGGCGAACGGGUGAGUAACACGUGAGCAAUCUGCCCUGGACUCUGGGAUAAGCGUUGGAAACGACGUCUAAUACCGGAUACGAGGCGUGGGGGCAUCCCCAACGCCUGGAAAGAACUUCGGUCCAGGAUGGGCUCGCGGCCUAUCGGCUAGGUGGUGAGGUAACGGCUCAACAAGGCGACGAAGGGUAGCCGGCCUGAGAGGGUGACCGGGCACACUGGGACUGAGACACGGCCCAGACUCCUACGGGAGGCAGCAGUGGGGAAUAUUGCACAAUGGGCGCAAGCCUGAUGCAGCAACGCCGCGUGAGGGACGACGGCCUUCGGGUUGUAAACCUAUUUUAGCAGGGAAGAAGCGAAAGUGACGGUACCUGCAGAAAAAGCACCGGCUAACUACGUGCCAGCCGCCGCGGUAAAAC
rnacentral:rRNA from 1 species